UACGUAGGGGGCAAGCGUUUGUCCGGAUUUAUUGGGCGUAAAGAGCGUGUAGGCGGUUUGGUAGGUCCGCUGUGAAAACUCGAGGCUCAACCUCGAGACGCCGGUGGAAACCAUCAGACUAGAGUCCGGAAGAGGAGAGUGGAAUUCCUGGUGUAGCGGUGAAAUGCGUAGAUAUCUGGAAGAACACCAAUGGCGAAGGCAAUGUUCUGGCUCGUUUCUGACGCUCAGGUGCGAAAGCCAGGGGAGCGAACGGG
rnacentral:rRNA from 1 species